UACGAAGGGGGCUAGCGUUGCUCGGAAUCACUGGGCGUAAAGCGCACGUAGGCGGAUUGCUAAGUCAGGGGUGAAAUCCUGGAGCUCAACUCCAGAACUGCCUUUGAUACUGGUGAUCUUGAGUCCGGGAGAGGUGAGUGGAACUGCGAGUGUAGAGGUGAAAUUCGUAGAUAUCCGCAAGAACACCAGUGGCGAAGGCGGACUCACUGGCCCGGUGCUGACGCUGAGGUGCGGAAAGCGUGGGGAGCAAACAGGG
rnacentral:rRNA from 1 species